rnacentral:tRNA from 2 species
GCGGCCGUGGCGGAACUGGUAGACGCGCAGCGUUGAGGGCGCUGUGGAGGAAACUCCGUGGAGGUUCGAGUCCUCUCGGCCGCACCA